rnacentral:rRNA from 1 species
UGCCAGCCGCCGCGGUAAUACGAAGGGAGCGAGCGUUGUCCGGAAUUACUGGGCGUAAAGAGCAUGUAGGCGGCUUUAUCAGUUGGGUGUGAAAUCCCGGGGCUCAACCCCGGAACUGCAUCCAAUACUGUAAAGCUAGAGACCGAGAGAGGAAAAUGGAAUUACGAGUGUAGAGGUGAAAUUCGUAGAUAUUCGUAGGAACACCAGAGGCGAAGGCGAUUUUCUGGCUCGGUACUGACGCUCAGAUGCGAAAGCGUGGGGAGCAAACAGGAUUAGAUA